rnacentral:lncRNA from 1 species
UUCCUCUUGGGUGGAUCUCAAAAGGCGGAUAAAGAUCGUGAAGUGGCCAGCCUUCUCAAGGAUUUUGGUUACGUUGGUGAUGCCAUGUGGUGCAGCUGCCUGUGUUGGGGUUGCUGCUGGAGGUUGUGCCACAACCACUGCUGGUGCCUGCGCUGGGGCUGCAGCUGGUGACUGGGCAAAGGUAUAGGUGCAUUGGAGGAAAAGGAGGAAAAUAAAAAAUGAGAUUGACUGUUGCUUCAUGUUUAUGUUUUUGGGCUAUAUGCUAGAAGUGAUACAAAAAUGUUAAUGUAAAUUGAGCUUGAUCUUAGUUAGAAAAGUGUUUGAUGUGUAAAGAAGGGACAGAGUCAGGUUUUAUAGUUGUUGGCAGAGGAUCAAGCUAGGUGCAAUGUACAAUUUUAGUUAUACAAUUAGGUAGCUAGUAUCUUAUCUUUUUCCGAAAGGUGGAGGGUAUCAAUGGAGAGGCAAGUUCAACAAUGCUGCAACAACUAAUUUUCUUGGAAAUGCAGGGGGAAAAAUAGAUUAUAAAAAGUGGAUUUCAAGUGGGUGUGACAGCAAAUGAAGAUAUCUAUGAUUGUCAAAAUUAUAAUUAUGAAUCAUCACUGGCAGAACAUUUGAGCAUAGACUUCUGAACAUCAAAACAAAUCAUCUGUAAUGACAGAGGAGUUUGACAUGAAAUCUCAACUGAUUCAUCUUUAAUAGCUUUGAUCUAGCUCCUUGAGCUUAAAAGAGUCGCAUCCUUGAAUCCAAGACAGAUUUCGAUAGACUAACUUUCCAAAUUCACACGUCCAGAAAUCAAAUCUCACCCUUACCACCACUUGACAUGACAUGAUCAAGAUAUACUUACCUUAUUAUGUACUUGAUAUGAUGAUUGUGGCAAGCCUUCUUUCAAGGUUUAUGCAAUCUUCGAGUAAGCUGACUUUUUAGGGAAACAAAGAGAGUCCUAAGAUAUCGACGCAGACAUAAACAACAAAAGAAAGACAGCAAUUGCAUAGGAUCACCGCGCAAAUUUCAAAUUUUGUUACCUUCCUAAACUAGAAAACCUGAAAAUAAAAAAAAAUGCAAUAAAAAUAUUAAACAAACUAGAAAAUUUAAAAAUAAAAAUGAGAAAUUACAAAUCUAACCUGAAUAGCACGUUUUGGGUCUAGAUGUCUUCCAGACCUGCUGACCAUUACAUAUAUAGGCCUAUAUAGCAAAAUUUGAGCAUGAUUCAGCUGUGAAAUUGAAGGCUGUAAUUAUGGGUCUUUUUUGUUGAGAAGUUUCAAUAACUGUCAGUCUUUCUGUUAGCUAAACCUGUUAGAGCAGUUAGUUAGUUAAUCCAGCUGGCAGUUAGUUAAGUUAGGUAAAGGUUGUUAGUAUUCAAUUGUUAGCAAAUAAACUGAUUCCUUGAAUCACGGGGCAGCAGUUAUUAGUUACCCUGCAGUGUUGUAAAGGCUAUAUAAAGCCAAAUGAUUGUUCAUUCUAAGCAUGAUAUACAAUUCAGUAUUCAUCAAGUAUUCUUGCAUAUCUGUUUCUAUCAAAUUGGUAUCAGAGCAAAACAAAGGAUGAGAAAGAGAAAGCUGCAGGGAGCGAAAAGAAAGCUGCAGUUGGUUUUGUUCUUUCUUCUUAAACUUUACAAAACAAAGGAGAGCCAAACUGAGAGAUGGCGAAUGACAGCACCAACAAUUUUAUUCAACCAUCCAUACCGCGGUUUGAUGGUCAUUUCGAUCACUGGAGCAUGCUAAUGGAGAAUUUCUUGAGAUCCAAGGAAUUCUGGAUCUUGGUUGAAACUGGCUACACAGAGCCAGAGGAAGGAGCAAGUGUGAUUGAAACACAACGAAAGAAAUUAGAGGAGUUAAAACUCAAAGAUCUGAAAGUAAAGAACUACCUAUUUCAGGCCAUUGACAGAACUAUACUUGAAACUAUUCUGGAGAAGAACACCUCUAAACAAAUUUGGGACUCAAUGAAGAGGAAAUAUGAAGGAAAUGCAAGAGUGAAGCGUUCAAUCCUUCAAACACUAAGGAAGGAGUUUGAAACACUGGAGAUGAAAACAGGUGAGCAUAUCACUGACUACUUUGCAAAGGUUAUGACUGUAGCUAGCAAAAUGAGAACCUAUGGGGAGCAAAUGCGAGAUGUAACGAUUGUGGAAAAGAUUCUUCGAUCUUUGACUGACAGAUUCAAUUGCAUAGUAUGUUCAAUUGAAGAAUCUAAGGACAUUGAUGUUCUCUCAAUUGAUGAGUUACAAAGCUCAUUGAUUGUACAUGAACAAAAAUUUCAGAAACACAGCAUGGAAGAACAAGCUUUGAAGGUGACAUCUGAAGAAAGGUUAUAUGGCAGAGGACAAGGCAGACGACCUUUUAGAGGAGGAGGAAGAGGUAGAGGACGAUAUACCUUUGACAAAACCACUGUGGAAUAUUAUAGAUGUCACAAACUUGGCCAUUUUCAGUAUGAAUGUCCCACAGUGAACAAGGAGGCAAAUUAUGCAGAACUGAGCAAUGAAGAAGAAAUCCUAUUGAUGUCUCAUGUGGAAUUGUAUGACAACAAUCGAGAGGGUGCAUGGUUUUUGGACUCUGGCUGCUCAAACCAUAUGUGUGGAGACAAGAAUAUGUUCUGUGAGUUGAAUGAAGAAUUUAGACAACUGGUAAAGCUUGGAAAUAAUACACGAAUGACAGUCCUUGGGAAGGGAAAAGUCAAGUUGUUCUUGGAUGGUUUGCAGCACAUGGUCACUGAUGUAUUCUAUGUACCUGAACUGAAGAACAAUCUCCUAAGCAUAGGCCAGCUACAAGAAAAGGGUCUGGCAAUCCUUAUCAAAUCAGGAACAUGCAGAAUUUAUCAUCCUGUGAGAGGCCUGAUCAUCCAAACUAGAAUGACAAUCAACAGGAUGUUUGUGCUAAUAGCAAAAGGCUCAAGUCAAAGAUGUUUCUUGUUUCCAUACACAUGCACAAGAUUUGUCACAUUUAUGGCAUUGCAGAUAUGGCAUCUCAGCCCCAAAGGAUUUAGGAACCUUUGGCAUAUUAGAAGGAUGGGGAGAGGGACUACCACAGCUCCCUGCAUCAACGACAGAAUGCACGGGCCUGUAUUACUGGCAAGCAGCACAGAGAAUCAUUCCCAAAAAGGGAGUCAAUGGCGUGCAUCACAAAGAUUAUAGCUCAUCCAUGCAGACAUAUGUGCUCCAAUCACACCAACCUCAAACAGCAAGAAAAGGUAUUUCUUAUGCCUCAUUGAUGACUAUAGCAGGAAGACUUGGGUUUAUUUCCUAGCAGAAAAAUCAGAAGCUCUUCAGCAUUUCCAGUACUUUAAGAAGCUUGUUGAAAAAGAAACUGGACAAUACAUCAAGAGUAUAAGAACAGAUAGAGGUGGUGAAUUCAACUCACUGGAAUUCAAUGAGUUCCGUAAGCAGAAUGGCAUCAAAAGACAGCUGACUACAGCCUACACUCCUCAGCAGAAUGGAGUGGCUGAGAGGAAGAAUAGGACAGUGAUGAACUUGGUAAGAUCCAUGCUUUCAGAAAAGAAGAUUCCCAAAAGCUUCUGGGCUGAGGCAGUAAACUGGAGCAUAUAUGUCUUGAACAGAUGCCCUACUAAUGCUGUAAAAGACAUGACUCCAGAAGAAGUGUGGACUGGAAUGAAGCCCUCAGUUGAACACUUUAGAGUGUUUGGAUGUGUAGCUCAUGUGCAUAUACCAAAUGCAAGACGAACCAAACUGGAAAACAAGAGUGUGUGCUGUGUACUGUGUACUGUUGGGAGUAAGUGAAGAAUCAAAGGGCUACAGACUGUAUGACCCUGCAACAAAGAAAAUUGUAACUAGCAGGGACAUAAUAUUUGAAGAAGAGAAACACUGGGACUGGGAUAUCUAUUACAAAGAGGAGUUACAAAUGAACUUAGAAUGGGGAGAAGAAGGUGAAACUGAUGGAGAUGAAGCAAACAUCAGUGAAGAUGCAGAGGCAAUUGAGCAUAAUAUUGCAGACUCAGGUGCAGAGUCAAAUUAGGAUGGCAUUGAAGGAUCCAACAAUACUCCUGCCAACACAAUAUAUGAAGAAGGUGUCAAUCUGCACACAAGGAGGGAUACAAUUAUGCCUAGCUGGAUGAGAGACUAUGUCUCUGGUGAAGGACUGUCAGAAGAAGAAACAGAAUUGAAUAUGGAAAUUGUAACUUCUGAUGACCCCGUGAGCUAUGAAGAGGCAGUAAAAAGUUACAAGUGGAGGGAAGCCAUGGAUGCUGAAAUGGAGUCAAUUCAGAAGAAUGAGACAUGGAGUCUAACUGAAUUACCAGCUGGAACUAAGAAGAUUGGGGUGAAAUGGAUAUACAAAACCAAGCUAAAUGAGUCUGGCAAAGUGGAUAAGCUCAAAGCCAGGUUAGUUGCCAAAGGCUAUGCUCAACAACAUGGUGUGGAUUACACAGAGGUAUUUGCUUCGGUGGCAAGAAUGGACACUGUUAGGAUGAUCAUUGCACUAGCUGCUAAGAAAGGUUAGCUCAUCUAUCAAUUAGAUGUUAAGUCGGCUUUCCUGCAUAGGGAAUUAAGUGAGGAUUUAUUUGUAGAACAACCAAAAGGAUAUGAGCAGAAAGGAAAUGAGCAAAAGGUCUACAAAUUACACAAAGCUUUGUAUGGACUAAAACAAGCCCCUCGAGCUUGGUUUAGUCGCAUUGAAGCCUACUUCACUCAUGAAGGGUUUCAGAAGUGCAUCAGUGAACAAACUCUGUUUGUUAAACAGACUAGUGGAGGCAGAAUCCUUAUCGUGAGUGUUUAUGUAGAUGAUUUGAUUUACACUGGAGAUGAUGAGCAGAUGAUGCUGGAAUUCAAACAGUCUAUGAUGAAGGUAUUUGACAUGACUGAUCUAGGAAGAAUGAGGUUCUUCUUAGGUAUAGAAGUACUGCAACAGACCAAUGGAAUCUAUAUCUGUCAACGAAAGUAUAUACUAGAGGUUCUGAAACGGUUUGGAAUGGAAGAAUGUAAUGCAGUAAUGAAUCCCAUAGUCCCUGGCUUCAAAACUGACAAAAUUGGAGAAGGAAACAAAAUCGAUGAGACUUACUAUAAACAAAUAGUUGGAAGUCUUAUGUAUAUCACUGCUACAAGGCCAGAUAUCAUGUUUGGGGUGAGUUUUAUAAGCAGGUUUAUGGCUAGUCCAACAGAAGUGCAUCUACAAGCUGCAAAAAGAUUAUUAAGAUACUUGAAGGGGACCAUCAAUUAUGGUAUAUUCUACAAGAAGAAUGAGAACAAGCAGCUGAUUGCAUACACUGAUAGUGACUAUGCAGGAGACAUUACAGACAGAAAGAGCACAUCCGGCUAUGUCUUCAUGCUGAGUGGAGGAGCAGUUUCAUGGGCAUCAAAUAAGCAGCCUAUAGUCACUCAGUCAACAACUGAAGCAGAAUUCGUGGCAGCAGCAGCUUGUGCUUGCCAGGCAGUAUGGAUGAGAAGGAUUCUGGAGAAGUUAAAUCAUGAACAAAAAGAUUGCACCAUCUUAAUGUGUGAUAACAGUUCAACCAUCAAGCUCUCAAGAAAUCCCAUUAUGCAUGGACGCAGCAAGCACAUUGAUGUGAGAUUCCAUUUCUUACGUGAUUUAACUCGAGACAAGAUCAUUGAACUUGUGCAUUGUGGCUCACAAGAUCAAGUAGCCGACCUACUGACAAAACCAGUCUGUGUGAUGCUUGAUGUAAACUAAUUGUUACACAGAAUUAGUUUAAAGGAGAGAAUGUUGAGAAGUUUCAAUAACUGUCAGUUUUUCUGUUAGCUAAACCUGUUAGAGCAGUUAGUUAGUUAAUCCAGCUGGCAGUUAGUUAAGUCAGGUAAAGGUUGUUAGUAUUCAAUUGUUAGCAAAUAAACUGAUUCCUUGAAUCACGGGGCAGCAGUUAUUAGUUACCCUACAGUGUUGUAAAGGUUAUAUAAAGCCAAAUGAUUGUUCAUUCUAAGCAUGAUAUACAAUUCAGUAUUCAUCAAGUAUUCUUGCAUAUCUGUUUCUAUCAUUUUUGUCAAGUCGAUCACUCUGCCCAUCCCAAAUAUUGUUUUGGGCUUUGUUCUUUACCAUCAGUCCAUAGACAUUCCUUCAAGACUAUCCACGCGGCCCAGUUGUGGUAGGCCCAACUGAUCAGAACCACCUGCUUUAAAUCUGUGAGGGGAAUGGCUGAUUUUGGAGUGUUGUUUGAAGCUACUGGCUAUAGAAAAUUGACUACUCAGAUAGUGAUUGGGCUGUUUCAGUCGAUGAUAUGAAGAGCACAACAGGUUGUGUUCGAUAUCGGUUCAGGUGCACUUUCUUCGGUGACCAAGAAGCAAGAACCGUGGCACAAUCCACUGGAGAAGCAGAGUGUAUAAAUUCAGCAGCAACUUUGAAUCUAGCCAUAUGGUUAAGGAAACUUCUCCAAGAUAUGGGGCAGCAACAGCAUGUAGCAACUAGAAUUCAAGUUGAUAACAAGUCGGCCAUUGCAAUUGCAAUAGCAAAAUAUUCAGUUAGUCAAGGAAAAACCAAGCAUAUCAAAAUGAAGUUCCAGAGCUCAUGAAGUAGAGAAAGCUAAUGCGGUGACCUUUAGCUGUUGUUACGCAGAAAAGCAACUUGCAGAUAUAUUGCAGCGAGAGCUUCCACAAAUAUACAUCCUUACCUUCACUGCAAGCAUCUGCAUGUAAUAACAAACUUUUAUGAAAAGUUGUAAUUAGGAAGAAUAGAAGAAGCCUAUCCAGAAAAUACAAGUCGCGAAAGACACUAACAUGAAGCAAGUUGAAACUAGAAUUAUUAUCCAACACUUGCACAAGGAACCAUCUGCAUAUACUAAUAAGACGAGCUUACCAGUUAUAUUUGUUUCCUGAGUCCUGACAGGUAAUAUAGCAAGGAAAUUCUUUUUGCACCAGAAGUUUGCAAGCCCAAAGUAGGAGAUAAUAUAGCAGUCUAGUAAAGGUUCUGUUUCAGAAGCCUUGUUUUUUGACAGUUAGCAUUUUCUUCUCUUUUGAAUAAUUGAAUUGUCAAUUGUCUUCUAACCUUAUAGCUUAAAGAAAACUACAUUUCGGUUCGAAACAUACUUGUGUGAAUUCCAAAAUCACAAUGAAACAUACUUGUAUAAAUUAAUGUGUAGCUCUAACUUAUCACUAGCUUCAAAACGUCAAUACUGCAAGAUGAAGGAAAAACACAGAUGGGUUGCAUUAAUCCUGCUGUGCAGCACACUAAGGCGCUGCGAAUGAGCAAGUGACCUCACACACCAGCCCCCAAUGCUCUUUUAUGUCCAGGAAUGGAAUGUUUGCUUAAAUCAAACCCGAUAAGUCCUUGAAAUGCUACCUACCUACCUUAAAUGGAAUCAUCUCUUGCAACCCAAGAUCUGGUCAAGUAACCCCACGUGAAGCAGUGCUGACAGUAAAGGAACUAAGCUUUAGCCCCUUUAGCUUUACAGAACCAAACUCUUACUUUCUUCAUUCCCUACAAAUUUCAACAGAUAAGCUCUCAAAAGACGUACCCAGAAAUCAUCUACAAAGUCAUCCUAUUGAUGAAGAAAGCAAAGGAAACAAUGACCUCAGAGACUGGAGCCUCAUGGAGGCAAUGGUCUUAUUUAACCAAAAGCUAGGGAAUAAGCACAUGGCGCCAAGGUGAUAGGAAAUGAAAUGAAAAAAACAAGAUUGACUACUUAUAUGUAUGUAUGUGUGUGUGUGUGUGUGUGUAUUCCAAUUUGACCAAGAAAUUAAUCAACAGCUCAGAAUUCAACCUUGAUCACAAACUCAAAUCAUACAAACUGGAUUCAAGGUAAAAUCAGAAUUAUUCAACACACAAUCAGCCGGCGCAGCAAAUUAAAUAAAGCACCAAACCGGACACAACCCCCUACAUAUCAUAUCAAGAUUCGAAAUCCUUCUACAUUACAGAGAAAACAUUGCAGAAGCAAGUAACCCAACUGAUCCCACCAAAAGAUUAUGAGUAAAGAUAAGUGCACUAGAUAUAUCCACAGAAGCUGCAGGACUCUCUACAGUUACUGCAGGAACUGCCUUCGUUGGCUUCUCUGGUGCAGCUGCCACUGGUGCUGGAGCUGGAGCAUUAGAAGCAAAAAUGUCCUUAGGGAGGAGUACCUUUUCAAUCUUAUAAAUGGCUAGCUGGUUGUCUGUGUAUACGGUGCCAGAUAAACUUGUAUUGGUAAGUCCUGUGGUUAUGUUCACCGAGUUUGGAUAACUUGUCACGUUAAGUGGUAACCUACUACCUGUUCCGGCCCAUGUUCCGAGAGGAUUGCUUACGGUCUGGAACUGGGAAGUAGAUAGGAAUGUUGGAACUACGUGAAACUUCACUAACUCGGACUUGUCUCCAUCACUUAGCGUGUUGAGAGUUCCUGAUUUGAGUUCCGAAAAUGCGCUAUCCGUUGGUGCAAAGAUGGUUAAACCAGUGCUUGAGUCAUUUAGCGCGGAGAAUAAGUGGUUUUCCUCUUGGGUGGAUCUCAAAAGGCGGAUAAAGAUCGUGAAGUGUCCAGCCUUCUCAAGGAUUAUGGUGACGUUGGUGAUGCCAUGCGGUGCAGCUGCCUGUGUUGGGGUUGCAGCUGGAGGUGAUGCAACCACUGCUGGCGCCUGAGCCGGGGCUGCAGCUGGUGACUGGGCAAAGGUAUUGGUACAAUGGAGGAAAAGAAGUAAAAUUGAAAAUGAAGAGAGUAAGUACUGUGGCUUCAUCUUUAUGUUGUUAAGAUAAAAUGCUAGGAACAAUGCAAAAAUGCUAAUGUAAACUGAGCUUGAUUUUUGUUAGAAGUGCUCGAUGUGUAUAGAGGGGACAGUUUGAGGUUAUAUAGUUGUGGGCAGAGAGGAUCAAGUUAGGUGCAAUAUACAAUUUUAGUUACACAACUAGGUUGCAAGUACCUUAUCUUACUCCAAAAGGUGGUGGGCCAUCAAUGGAGAUGGAAAAUUGGCAAUGCUGCAGCAGCUACUUUGCAUGGAAAGUAGGAAGAAAAAGAAACAAGAAUCUAAGAAGUAGAUUUCAAGUGGGUGUGACAGCAAAUGAAGAUGUGCAUUUCCCACUCAUCAAUGGCAGAACAUUUGAGCAUACUUCCACACAUUAUAACAAAAUCAUCUUUAAUGAUAGAAGAUUUGGACAAGGAAUCUCAGCUGACCCCAUCUUUGUAUCCAAAACAGCUAAAGACUUUGCUCCUUGAGCUAAAAAGAAAGAAGCUUUGGAUGUGUUGAGUAACAUUAUAAAACUUUUUUUUUCAGUUUUAUUUUCCUUUUCUAGUUUUAGUUUUUCAAUAAAAAAUCAGAAAACGUGUUUUAUUUGUCAUAAAAUCAUGAAGAUAAAUUUUUCCAUCUAAAAAAUACUUUAAGAUUAUAACUAUUUUUUUAUAAAAUAUAAACCAUAAUUUAUAAUAAGCAUCUUAACAUUUUGUAUUCGUGAUAAUUUAAUGAUGAAAUUAUAAUUUUAUUUCUUUAAAAAAAACUAUCAUGUAAAACUAUAUUGCUAACCUUUAAAAAAUAUUUAUAUUAAAUUUAUAAUAAAAGGUAAAUUUAUGAUACAUUGAUACUAACUAAAUAUAAAAAAAAAAUUAAGUUUUUACAUUGCUUAAAAUGGCUUGGAUAUAAAAUAAAAAAAUAUUAUUCAUAUUUGUUUCAUUUGAAAAAUAAUGAAAAACUUAUAUUAGAAAAUUACAGAGAAUUUUUAAAAUAUGUUUUUCAAUCUCAAUACAAAUUUAAAAAACUAAAAAAUUUAGUUUUCCAUAGGAAGUUACAGUUUUCAUUUUUCUUACUCCAAUUUUUUUAUUAAAAAAAUAUUAUUUUGUUUCUAAACAAUUUUUUACAUCCUUUUAAUCCUCAAGAGAAAUUGAUAGGCUAACUUUCCAAAUUUAGAAACAUAAAUUAGAUCUCACACCAGGCCAUCACUUAACAUAAUCAAGAAACACUUUCUAACGUACGUGAGCCAAGUACAGGCCAUGUUGCUGCUUACAAUGAUUUUUUCCUUAUGCAAACACCAGCCUAGAAAUUUUAUAUGACCAUUUUGAAGUAAAACGAAAGAAGAUGCCUGCUCUCUCUCACACUUUUUUCCGCUAAUUAUCAACACGAACAGUUUUGAAACUAGAGAAGAAACCUGAGUCUGAUUUGGGCUUGAACUCGAGAAAGAUUCGUAUAGCAAAGAAAUUACUUAGCAAGAUUGAGGAGGAAAAGAGAAUCAAAUUAAUCCCACAAAAUAGUAUAGCAAGACGCUUGGCAUGAGCAGGUGACCUAAGAACUGGUCUGCAAUGCUUAAUAUAGUUUUCUUGUCCAAGACUGAAAUAUUUGCUCCAAUGAAACCUGACAAGUCCUUGAAGUUGGAAAUAAUACCUCCUCACCUUAAAUUGAAUAAUUAAUCUCUAGUGAGUCAAGAUUUGGAGAAGUAAUAUCAGCAGGCAAUGCAUUCUUGUGAGUGAAGGAAAUUAGAUUUAGCACUCGUUAAGCUUUAACGAACAAUAUUUUAUGGUUUUCAUUCCCUACAACCUUCAAGAGAUAUGAUCUCCAAAUUCACAUCCAGAAAUCAAGUCACCCUCAAAGUCAUCUGGUAGAAGGCAAUGUUCAACGAACACUGACCUCGGACUUAAGCCCCAAGAAGGCAUUGCUCAUGCUAUAUUUUAUACCAAAAAUAACAGUUAAGCCUCAAAAAUUUAACACGUCCAAUUCUGAGCAUAAAGAAAGACAGGUCGCCCAGGAACCGGAGAGAAAUCGAAGUGAAUUUCUUGUACAUUAAUGUACUUAAUGGCAUUAGCAAUCCACUCGAGAUGUUCGAAGAUGGAGAUAAAAUUUGCUAGGAGAAGAGGAAGGUGAGCGAUGGAGGAGGGUUCGGAAGGUGCAGCAAGAGAAGCAGGAGUGGUCAUCUUAGCAUUAAUAGAGACUUAUAGACAGGAAUUCGGGUUCACCAGUAGCUAGUUAGAAAAGAUCAAGCAUGGUCAUGUCUCUAAAUAAAAUGUAAAGAUACCAAAAUCACACCUAAUAAUUUCGAAAGUGGAAGGCUUAAGAGCAUCAAGGUUGAUCUUCUAAGAAAUCAAUUUUAAGUGAAUUAUAAUGUAGAAACUGCAAGUUCUCAAACAAGUGUAGCAUGAAAUACUAGGGGGAUUUUUUAGAUAUGGAAAAUUUUUCCAGCAAGUAUGAAUGUAUGCUUAAUAGAGAAAUCAAAGAUAAUCAUUGUUCAAGGGUAGGAAUUGAUGCUUCCUCCAAUGCUCAUAAUCAAAGAAUUCUUGAUCCGCCAAUCAAACCACCAUUAUCUAGCCAAAAGCUAGGAAAUGAUAGAUGACACCAGGAUGAUAGUGAAAAAAAAAUGAAAUUUGAUGAAUAAUCAAGUUAAUUAGAUAGAAUCUCAAAACUCAACUCAAUCAUGAACUCAAAUCAUACAAACUGGAUUCAAGGUAAAAGCAGAAUUAUUCAACACACAAUCGGCCGGCGCAGUUAAAUAAAGCACCAAACCGGACACAACCCUACGUACAUAUAUCAUAUCAAGAUUGAAAUCCUUCUACAUUACAGAGAAAACAUUGCAGAAGCAAGUAAACCAAAUGAUCCCACCAGAAUAUUAUUAGUAAAGAUAAGUGCACUAGAUAUAUCCACAGAAGCUGCAGGACUCUCUACAGUUACUGCAGGAACUGCCUUUGAUGGCUUUUCUGGUGCAGGUGCCACUGGUGCUGGAGCUGGAGCAUUAGAAGUAAAAAUGUCCUUAGGGAGGAGUACCUUUUCAAUCUUAUAAAUGGCUAGCUGGUUGUCUGUGUAUACGGUUCCAGAUAAACUUGUAUUGGUAAGUCCUGUGGUUAUGUUCACCGAGUUUGGAUAACUUGUGACAUUAAGCGGUAACCUACUACCUGUUCCGGCCCAUGUUCCGAGAGGAUUGCUUACGGUCUGGAACUGGGAAGUAGAUAGGAAUGUUGGAACUACGUGAAACUUCACUAACUCAGACUUGUCUCCAUCCCUUAGAGUGUUGAGAGUUCCUGAUUUGAGUUCCGAAAAUGCGCUAUCCGUUGGUGCAAAGAUGGUUAAACCAGUGCUUGAAUCAUUUAGUGCGGAGAACAAGUGGCUUUCCUCUUGAGUGGAUCUCAAAAGACGGAUAAAGAUCGUGAAGUGGCCAGCCUUCUCGAGGAUUUUCGUGACGUUGGUGAUGCCAUGCGGUGCAGCUGCCUGAGUUGGGGUUGCAGCUGGAGGUGGUGCUACGACUACUGCCGGUGCCUGCGCUGGGGCUGCAGCUGGUAUCUGGGCAAAGGUACUGGCACAAUGGAGGAAUAAAAGGAAUAUUGAAAAUGAGGAGAUUAACUGCUGCUUCAUCUUUAUGUUUUUGGGAUUAAUUAUAAU